AUUGAACGCUGGCGGCAUGCUUUACACAUGCAAGUCGAGCGGCAGCGCGGGGGCAACCCUGGCGGCGAGCGGCGAACGGGUGAGUAAUGCAUCGGAACGUACCCUGGAGUGGGGGAUAACGCCGCGAAAGCGGCGCUAAUACCGCAUAUGCUCUGAGGAGGAAAGUGGGGGACCGCAAGGCCUCACGCUCUGGGAGCGGCCGAUGUCCGAUUAGCUAGUUGGUGGGGUAAAGGCUUACCAAGGCGACGAUCGGUAGCUGGUCUGAGAGGAUGAUCCGCCACACUGGGACUGAGACACGGCCCAGACUCCUACGGGAGGCAGCAGUGGGGAAUUUUGGACAAUGGGCGGAAGCCUGAUCCAGCCAUGCCGCGUGAGUGAAGAAGGCC
rnacentral:rRNA from 1 species